CCCCCAUCAGGGGAAUAGCCCGCCGAAAGGCGGAUUAAUGCCCCAUAGGCCCAGGGCGCCGCAUGGCGCUAUGGGUAAAGCUCCGGCGGAUGGGGAUGGGCAUGCGUGCCAUUAGCUAGUUGGGGCGGUAACGGCGCACCAAGGCGACGAUGGCUAGGGGGUCUGAGAGGAUGGUCCCCCACACUGGUACUGAGACACGGACCAGACUCCUACGGGAGGCAGCAGUGAGGAAUAUUGGUCAAUGGGCGGAAGCCUGAACCAGCCAUGCCGCGUGCAGGAUGACGGCCCUACGGGUUGUAAACUGCUUUUCCCCGGGAAGAAUAAGCCCCUCGUGAGGGGUGAUGCCGGUACCGGGGGAAUAAGGAUCGGCUAACUCCGUGCCAGCCGCAGC
rnacentral:rRNA from 1 species